rnacentral:rRNA from 1 species
UAGAUACCCUAUUAUUUUGUGGUAAGUGUUGUGUGGGUAGUAUUUGUUGUCUUCAUAAAACCCAAAGGAUUUGGCGGCGUUUUAGUCCCUUCAGAGGAACCUGUCCCGUAAUCGAUGUUCCACGUUAAUAUUACCUUCUCUUGUUUGUUUAGCUUAUAUACCGUCGUCUGUAAGGGGGUCUUUUUGAAAGUUAAAUCCCCUGUUCUUGUUACUGUGAGAUAUGUCAGAUCAAGGUGUAGCUUAUGGGGAGGGGGAGAUGGGUUACAAUAGUUGGUAUUUAUACGGAUUGCUUUUUCUCAGGAGCAUGAAGGUGGAUUUGAUUGUAAGAUUUGUCUGGCAAUUUUGAUUAGGGCCCUAGGACGUGUACAUAUC